UAAGAGGGAAAAAGGGGAAACGCUUAAACAUGCAAUCUCGAACGGCAGCACGAGAGAGCUUGCUCUCUUGGUGGCGAGUGGCGGACGGGUGAGUAAUAUAUCGGAACGUGCCCAGUAGCGGGGGAUAACUACUCGAAAGAGUGGCUAAUACCGCAUACGCCCUACGGGGGAAAGGGGGGGAUUCUUCGGAACCUCUCACUAUUGGAGCGGCCGAUAUCGGAUUAGCUAGUUGGUGGGGUAAAGGCUCACCAAGGCAACGAUCCGUAGCUGGUUUGAGAGGACGACCAGCCACACUGGGACUGAGACACGGCCCAGACUCCUACGGGAGGCAGCAGUGGGGAAUUUAGAACAAUGGGGGAAACCCUGAUCCAGCCAUCCGGCGUGUAUGAUGAAGGCCUUCGGGUUGUAAAGUACUUUUGGCAGAGAAGAAAAGGUAUCUCCUAAUACGAGAUACUGCUGACGGUAUCUGCAGAAUAAGCACCGGCUAACUACGUGCCAGCAGCCGCGGUAAUACGUAGGGUGCAAGCGUUAAUCGGAAUUACUGGGCGUAAAGCGUGUGUAGGCGGUGCGGAAAGAAGAUGUGAAAUCCCAGGGCUCACCUUGGAACUGCAUUUUUAACUGCCGAGCUAGAGUAUGUCAGAGGGGGGUAGAAUUCCACGUGUAGCAGUGAAAUGCUAAAUAUGUGGAGGAAUACCGAUGGCCAGGCGCCCCCUUGGAUAAUACUGACGCUAAAACCAGAAA
rnacentral:rRNA from 1 species